CCCUUCGCGGGGGACAACAGUCCGAAAGGAUUGCUAAUACCGCAUACGUCGGCGAGCUCCUCGGAGUUUGCUGGGAAAGAUGGCCUCUUCAUGAAAGCUAUCACCGAAGGAUGAGUCCGCGGCCCAUCAGCUAGUUGGCGGGGUAAUGGCCCACCAAGGCUUAGACGGGUAGCUGGUCUGAGAGGAUGAUCAGCCACACUGGAACUGAGACACGGUCCAG
rnacentral:rRNA from 1 species